UGAGCCCUGAACGUAUGAUCACAUGCUGUGAUCUGAGGGGUUCACUUAUUCUGAACAUCUUCUCAUCCUGAAGACCAGAACAGGUCUGUGACUGCAGACAUGGACAGUAACACUCUGCUCAUCCCACUGUGGUUCCUGCUCUGCUGGGUGUUGUCUAUACGGUCCGUGAUGGGCCAUCAAAGCUUCCCUUUACAUGCUGCUGACAAGGCCAUCCCACUGACCUUGGUUGAAGAUUCUGUUGAUGACAUGUACCAUGGCUGCACAAAUAAAAUGACAGCAAAGAGUAUGUACAUUUGAACCUUCUCUAGUCCAGCCCAUUACAAUAGAUCUCAGCAUUUUCUGUAAGCCCCUUUCUUUCUGUUGCAGUACUGAGUAUCUGUGUUGCUCAUGUUGUACAUGCUGUA